UCCUGAAUCAUUCCGGGGACCCAGAGAAACCUGAAUGAGGCAAAACAACCAGACUCUGGGGUCACACACAGGCUUGGUGGGGCAGACAGAUGCGAGAAGGCUUACGGGAGAAUUUCUGCUGGGAAGAAAUAGCCUCGAGAUUAUCCUUUUUUAUGAUCAGGUACAGGUUCCAAGAGGUACAAAAGAUGCUUGCCAUUUGGCUGUAGAGAGCAGAUGAGUUUGAGAACUGCUCAGUACAGGUGACAGAAAGACAUACAAUAAAGGGGGUGUAGCCUGAUACCACCACAUGGGAACAGGCAGAAGGGCUGGCCCAAUCUCCAAGGAACCUCCAGUACCAGUGGGGUCUCAAGGGAAGGAGCCCUUGUCAGUAGGACACACUGGAGCUACCACACUUCCUCAUGGAAACUGUAGUUAUAGUUAUAACUACAGAAGGGCAGUUAUAGUCAUCCUAGAAGAAGACCACAACCU
rnacentral:lncRNA from 1 species